rnacentral:rRNA from 1 species
GCAGACACCGGGGCAGCGGCCGGGGUGUUGCGUAGGGUGGGGGGGUUGUCCGGAAUUAUGGGGCGGAAAGGGCUCGUAGGCGGUUGGGUCAGUCGGGAGUGAAAACUCGGAGCUUAACGCCGAGCCUGCUUCCGAUACGGGCCGACUAGAGUGAUGCAGGGGAGAACGGAAUUCCGGGUGUAGCGGUGAAAUGCGCAGAUAUCAGGAGGAACACCGGUGGCGAAGGCGGUUCUCUGGGCAUUACCUGACGCUGAGGAGCGAAAGUGUGGGGAGCGAACAGGAUUAGAUACCCUUGUAGUC